AUGUGUGCUAACUAAAAAAUAUCAUGAUGAUGUUUCCUUGGUAAAUUUUACAAGGAAGGAAUAAAAUUUCAGUGAGUUUGUAGAUUAUCUGAUGGUUUUCUGGGCUUGCUCAGGUACUGUCUAGGCCAGAGUAUCACCUCUCCAGCCAGUCCUCAUAAGCUGAUAUCUUUGUCAGUAAUAAUAACAGACAUAAAUCCUAAAUGCCAGGAGACCUGUAAAAUGUAAAAUACAGAAAACCUCUAAUAGUCUAGAACUUCUCUCCUAGAUACCUACCCUAGAAAGAUAUUCACACAUAUGCAAAAGAAAUUGUAUGUAUACAAGAAUCUUUUUGUAUCAUUGAAUAUGAUAGUGAAAAAUCUAAGACAGCAUUAAGGCUCUAAAGAAGAAUGGUUAAAUAAAUGGGUAGUUCUGAGCUGUGGACUCCCUGCCACAUAUAUCAAGAGUGGAAUAAAUCUGUAUGAGCUGACAUGGCAAAAUCUUUGUGCAGUAUUGAGUUUUUAAAAAGCAGGUUUCAGCCGGGCACAGUGGCUCAUGGCCGUAAUCCUAGGAUUUUUGGAGGCCGAGAUGGGUGGAUCAGUUGUGGUCAGGAGUUCAAGACCAGCCUGGCCAAGAUGGUGAAACCCGGCCUCUACUAAAAAUAUAAAACUUAGCCAGGCGUGGUGGCAGGUGCCUGUAAUCCCAGCUACUCGGGAGGCUGAGGCAGUGGGUGGAUCUCUUGAGCUCAGGAGUUUGAGACCAGCCUGGGCACCAUCGUGAAACCCCAUCUCUACUAAAAAUACACAGCCUACCCUGGUGUGGUUGUGCGUUCAUGUAGUACCAGCUAUUUAGGAGGCUGAGGUGGGAGGAUCACUUGAGCCUGAGAGGCAGAAGCUGUAGUGAGCCAAGAUGGUGCCACUGCACUCCAGCCUGGGUGACAAAGCAAGACCCUUUCUCAAAAAAAAAAAAGUUCUGUCCUAAUGGUUUAGAAAAAUUAUAAUGAAAAUUGAAAGCCAUUUCAAAACUAAUUCUGUUGCCAUGAUUAUAAGCACUUUCCAGGCGUACUUUUGGUCUGGGGAGGGGUAUAUAUUGACAUUUAGCAAUAUUAACACUUUUUAUGGUCUGUAAUAGAUGGCACUGAUGGGGAAACAGAAGUUGGAGAAAUACAACAGAAUAAAAGUGUCACUUACGAUCUCUCAAAAUUGGUCAACUAUCCUGGUUUUAAUAUAUCUACUCCCAGAGGAAUUCCAGACGAAUGGAGGAUCUUUGGUUCCAUACCAAUGCAGGCAUGUCAGCAGAAGGAUGUGUUUGCCAAUUACCUUACUUCUAACUUCCAAGCGCCAGGUGUGAAGUCUGGCAACAAGAGGUCUUCGUCUCACUCUAGCCCAGGUAGUCCAAAGAAGCAGAAGAAGGAAAGCAACUCAGCGGGAUCCCCCGCCGACAUGGAGCUCGAUUCGGAUAUGGAGGUACCACAUGGUUCUCAGAGCAGCGAAAGUUUUCAGUUUCAACCACCAUUACCUCCUGACACUCCUCCACUCCCCCGGGGAACUCCUCCACCCAUCUUCACCCCUCCACUCCCAAAGGGCACCCCACCGCUGACUCCCAGUGACUCACCCCAGACCAGAACAGCAUCUGGAGCUGUGGAUGAGGACGCACUGACUCUAGAAGAACUUGAAGAACAGCAGAGGCGGAUCUGGGCAGCUCUUGAGCAGGCCGAGAGCUUAAACAGCGACUCCGACGCUCCUGUGGACACACCUUUAACUGGCAAUUCCGUUGCCUCAUCACCUUGUCCAA
rnacentral:sRNA from 1 species